rnacentral:rRNA from 1 species
AUGGCCCCGCCCCCGUCCAUGGCCGCUGCCCACGAUCGCGACGACCCCUCCCUCCGCCUCCGCCGCGCCGACGGCGGCUCCUCUGCCGUCCACGGAGAGGCGAAUCCGCAGGAGCAGCCGCAGCGGCAGCACGAGAUGCCCUGCUACCGGGCGUCGGCGCCCGCCCACCGCCGGGUCAAGGAGAGCCCGCUCAGCUCCGACGCCAUCUUCCGACAGAGCCAUGCAGGUCUUCUGAAUCUAUGCAUUGUUGUGCUGAUUGCAGUGAACAGCAGGCUCAUUAUUGAGAACUUAAUGAAGUAUGGCCUAUUAAUAAGAGCUGGGUUUUGGUUUAGUGCAAGAUCGCUGGGAGAUUGGCCACUUCUGAUGUGCUGCCUCACUUUACCCAUUUUCCCACUUGCUGCUCUCAUGACCGAGAAGUGGGCUCAAAGAAAGCUCAUCCGUGAUCAUGUGUCUAUUCUUCUCCAUAUAAUUAUUACAACCACUGUCCUUAUCUAUCCGGUUGUUGUGAUUCUUAAGUGUGAAUCAGCAGUAUUAUCUGGAUUUGUGUUAAUGUUCAUUGCAAGCAUUACUUGGUUGAAGCUUGUCUCUUUUGCUCAUACAAAUUAUGAUAUAAGGAUAUUGUCCCAAAGUAUUGAAAAGGGUGCUACACAUGGCAGUUCUAUCGAUGAGGAAAACAUUAAAGGCCCAACUAUCAACAGUGUUGUGUAUUUCAUGUUGGCCCCAACACUUUGUUACCAGCCAAGUUAUCCCCGGACAGCAUUUAUUAGAAAAGGCUGGGUCACCCGGCAGCUUAUAAAAUGUGUAGUUUUUACAGGCUUGAUGGGCUUCAUAAUUGAGCAAUACAUUAAUCCAAUUGUGCAGAAUUCGAAGCAUCCAUUGAACGGAAAUUUCUUGGAUGCUAUUGAGAGAGUCUUGAAACUCUCAGUGCCAACAUUAUAUGUAUGGCUUUGUAUGUUCUAUUCCUUUUUCCAUCUGUGGUUGAAUAUUCUAGCCGAACUCCUCCGUUUUGGUGAUCGUGAAUUCUACAAGGACUGGUGGAACGCCAAAACAGUUGAAGAGUACUGGAGAAUGUGGAAUAUGCCUGUUCAUAAGUGGAUCGUUCGACAUAUAUAUUUUCCAUGCAUAAGGAAUGGCUUAUCAAAGGGUUGUGCCAUUCUCAUCGCAUUUCUGGUUUCAGCUGUAUUUCAUGAGCUAUGUAUUGCUGUUCCGUGCCACAUUUUCAAAUUAUGGGCAUUUUCUGGAAUCAUGUUUCAGAUUCCCCUGCUAUUCUUGACGAAAUAUCUUCAAGAUAAGUUCAAGAAUACAAUGGUGGGCAACAUGAUAUUUUGGUUCUUCUUCAGCAUAGUUGGGCAACCAAUGUGUGUUCUCUUGUACUACCAUGAUGUCAUGAACAGACAGGCUCAGACAAAUGGCUAG